UGAGGGGUCGCCCUCCCCUUGCAGCUGAGGGGGGGUUAAGGGGGAAGCCGUGUGGAUACAGGGUUUAAUGAAGAGCUUUUUCUACGUGUGAAGGAUCACAACGCUGCGAGGCGCCAGCCCCGCACUGCGAGAUAGCGGCUGGGGGGCUUUGCUAUACCGAAUCCGAGCUGUGCCAUUGCAACAGGGGAAAGCCAGGCUGCUUAAGUCAAUGCUUAAAAUAACACGAACAGGUUGGAGUGAAAGGAUGUUCUCUUCUUCCACUAUGGAUUACAAUGGAGCAUUCACCAUGACAAGAACAAAAGAGGUGUGCAGGGAGGAAUAGGUUGAUGACAGACAACAGCAACACUGAAAUUUAGUUGUGUUUUUUGUUUGUUUGUUUUGAACAACUACACCUUGUUCAUGUUUUUUUCCCCAUGUAGGCCAUAAGGUCUUUCAAUUAUACUUAGAUUGAAUCUAAGACAUUUUAGACUCAGCACUAAUUCAGAACUUCAUGUCUCCAAAGUGUGUAUAUUUGUUUUCAUUUUUAACCUUUUUCAGUUUUAGCAAUUAGAAAGAUAAUUUCAAAGGUAGCUCACUUUAUAUAAUGAAGGGUACAAUGAUAAAACACUUUCACUUUUCAUUGAUGCGAUGCUCUACAGAAACUAGUAAUAAACUCCCUCAAAUUUUUGUACUUAGAAGCUGAUAGUAAUUGUUAAAUGUUGCAGUUCUACAGCUACAUUUUUAUCUAUUUGCUCCACCUGCUGGUGCAUUUUUCUUUAAAGAAAUCUUUAGAAGCCUAAACAUAUAAAAAAAUUGGCCAAAGAUAUACCCUAAGAGGCAUACUUGACUUUAAGGUUAAUUUAUGUAAUAUACUUAUUAAAUUCAACCUGAUCCCAAUAAUUUUUCAGUCAAAAAAAGCCAAUGGAUACAUAGACUUAGGGAAACAUGACUCAUAGCUUACUCUUUGGACAAUGCCAUUCAUUUUUAAUGUGACAGUAACACAGAGGGUCAUCAUUUUCCAUCAUCUAUUAUUCUUCUCAAAAAAAAAAAAAAUGUUCUGUCUUUCAUAUGGGAAUCUCUCUACAUAACUGAUUUGCCUCCUGAAUUUUCCAAGAUAACUUUCUUUUUAGACAAUUAGUGUGAGGGAAAGUCCUGUUUCUUCAGCACAUUUAAUUGUUCUCUGCUCAGAGACAGAAAAAAAAAUUUAAAACACCAAUCAAAAAGCACUCUCUAUUGGAAGUUUCACAUAAUAGAUUACUUUCCAUUCCCUAUAUAUAUAUAUAUUUUUUUUUAAUUUUACAUUUAAGUGCAAGGAAAAGGUAAGAAUAGCCCAUCAAAAGCAACCUUCCAAGGCUAUGAUAUUUUCCAAUAAUACUCUAGGACAGAAGGAGCUUUCCAUCCCUUCCUCCCUUACCAAAUAAUUAGAAACAGUAAAUGUGAAAAGAAAAGCAAUCCUCACAAACAAAUUUUUGGUAUUGGAUUUUUUUUUUCAUCAUCAUCAUUCACACACCAUUAGUUUAGGGUUCUUUGAUCUAACCAGUUUAAUCAGAACUAAGGUGGAUACCAUUAACCCCAGGUUUUCUGGAACUGAACUGGCACUUUUUGACAAAUGGAAAAUUUUAACUUAUUUCUGUAUUAUUUUAAUAAGUUUUCUGUACACUGCACCAAAUUGAUUGCAGAAUGCUUGUCUAAAGUUGGAGAGAAUAUACACUGUCCAGGAAAUUUUAAUUAGCAUAGCUGGAAGAGAAAAGGUCUUCUGGCACUGAAUAACAAUCAAAGAAAAACAACACUGUUAAGAAAUGGUUAAAGACAUUGAAAAACUGCAGUAUACUUGGGGAGACUGUUUGUAAUUUAUUUUUAAUAAAUCCAGACUACAUAUAUACCCCUCUUUCUAGACUACCAAUUCAUUUUGCAUGGCUAAUCUGCUUAACUGACCAGACUACCAAAAUUAACCGAUUAAUGUAAUUUUAAAGGAUGAUUUAACAAAAAAAAAAAAAAAAAAAAACUCCAGUGUAAAAUGAGAUGCACCAGUAACACAGCUUUAGAGAAUUUUUCUUUUAAAUGGAGAAAGUUCUCCUCAUCGGUAUCUUACCAAGUGAUGAAUCAGAAGCAAACUUAUGUUGAAAACAGUUUUUGUUCUACGCAUUAUGGAUUUCACAUUAAAUAAAAACCAAAACCCUAUGUGCAACA